UAUGUGUGUGUGUGUGUGUGUGUGUGUGUGUGUGCUUGUCCACAUACACACACGCUUACACGCAUAAC